rnacentral:rRNA from 1 species
GAUGCAUUUAUUAGAUAAAAAACCAAUACAUGCUUUUAAAGUAUGGAAUUUGGUGAUUUACAAUAACUUAGCAAAUCGCAUAGUGAAAACAGGCGAUAAAUCAUUCAAGUUUCUGACCUAUCAGCUUUCGACGGUAUGGUAUUGGCUUACCGUGGCAGUGACGGUUAACGGGGGAUUAGGGUUCGAUUCCGGAGAGGGAGCCUGAGAAACGGCUACCACAUCUAAGGAAGGCAGCAGGCGCGCAAAUUACCCAAUUCUAACAGCAUAAGAGAGGUAGUGACAAGAAAUAACAAUACAAGGCAGUUAAAAUGCUUUGUAAUUGGAAUGAUAGAAAUUUAAACACUUUUUAAAGUAUCAAUUGGAGGGCAAGUCUGGUGCCAGCAGCCGCGGUAAUUCCAGCUCCAAUAGCGUAUAUUAAAAUUGUUGCAGUUAAAAAGCUCGUAGUUGAAUUUCUGCUAAAAAUAACCGGUCUGCUUUUAAUAAAGGUGGUAUCUUGGUGUGUUUUUAGCAAUAAUGUCCUUUGAAAUGUUUAUUACUUCAUUGUAAUAAAUUAUUUUCAGGAUUUUUACUUUGAGAAAAUUAGAGUGUUUCUAGCAGGCUAACGCUUUGAAUACUGCAGCAUG